AGUGGGGAAUUUUGGACAAUGGGGGAAACCCUGAUCCAGCGACGCCGCGUGAAGGAUGAAGGCCUUCGGGUUGUAAACUUCUUUUGGAGGGGACGAAUAAAUUGACGGUACCCUCAGAAAAAGCCACGGCUAACUACGUGCCAGCAGCCGCGGUAAUACGUAGGUGGCGAGCGUUACUCGGAAUUACUAGGCGUAAAGCGUAUGUAGGCGGUUGUAUAAGUCUAUGGUGAAAUUUCCUGGCUCAACUGGGAAGGGACAUAGAUACUGUAUGGCUUGAGUGUUGGAGGGGGAGACGGAAUUCCUGGUGUAGCGGUGAAAUGCGUAGAUAUCAGGAGGAACACCGAUGGCGAAAGCAGUCUCCUGGCCAAAUACUGACGCUGAGGUACGAAAGCUAGGGUAGCAAACAGGAUUAGAUACCCUGGUAGUCCUAGCUGUAAACGAUGUUCACUAGAUGUGGGAGGUAUCGACCCCUUCCGCGUCGACGCUAACGCAUUAAGUGAACCGCCUGGGGAGUACGGCCGCAAGGUUGAAACUCAAAGGAAUUGACGGGGGCCCGCACAAGCGGUGGAGUAUGUGGUUUAAUUCGACGCAACGCG
rnacentral:rRNA from 1 species